rnacentral:lncRNA from 1 species
UAAUAUCCUAUCAGUAUUGGUCCUACAAAUUAAUCACGAUUUAGUACCACCACAAAAAUGCAUUAUAACAUAAAAGAUAUCAAAUUGUCUUACUCUCCAUGGGCAUUUUCUAUAAUUAUGACCCCCUUUGCCGCAAGUACUAAACUUAUAAUGUCGUGUUUCAUGAUACUCCAUCCGUUCCUUUGCCGCAAGUACUAAACUUAUAAUGUCGUGUUUCAUGAUA